rnacentral:lncRNA from 1 species
UGUGCUUGCCAGCUCAGCAGAUUUCCAAGAUUCCUUCAUCUCCCCAACCCUGCUGCAGCUCUUUACAAAUAUUUCACCAACUGGCAGUGGUCAAGGGCAUGGACACAGCAAGGCCUUUCGAGGCUGAUGAUUUCCCCCAUCACACACUGCAAGUUCACAGCACUGGUCUUCUGGGAGAGUGAUGCAAUCAAUGGAAGCCGGGAACACAAAUGUUUCCUUUUGAGUCAUAAACUGAUAAACCUGUUUAGCCUGUUUCUAAAAGUAUGAUUGGACUCACAUUUUCUACAUUUAGGCAAAACUUUGGAUUACUUGCUGACAAGUGGCUUGGACCUGGUAGCUAACACUAUGUAAUGAGAAGACUGGACAAUUCUUCAGUGGAAAAAUGGAAAGAAACCAAUAGGAGCUUCAAACAAAACCCUAGCCCACUGAUUGACACUUGCUACUCUCUCUCACGCGGAGCUUUGACGGCUGAGGCCUUAUGGUUAUAAAUGGACCUCAAAAGUCUUUUGAGAAAAGUCUCCAACAUGAGACGCAAAGACCAAAACAAAGAGAAACAAAAGCGAGCAAAUUUCAAAAACUUAUGAUUCCGAAGCACGUCAUCUGAAUGGGAAUAUGAAGACAAGGACUGAGAUAUGUUCUUACAAUUUCAUUUACUGUAAGAACCUAAGUUUCUUCCUUACUAGGUUGCCACCUAUAGCUCAGAGCAUAGGCCUUCUGACAAAGAGAGAAGACACACACACACACACACACACAAUCUGAGUUUUUUCCACAUCUCCGUGUACUCAUCUCCACUGCUGUAGUCCAAAUAGCAUCAUUCCUCAUGGGAAGCAUAAUUGCCCCUCAAAAUGUUUCCUUGCUCUGGACAAGUCUGUGCUAAAGUAUGCUGCAUAGAACAUCCAGAAGGGUCUUUAAAAAAAUAAUUCAACCAUUUCAGGCCCUAAUGAUUGCACAUUCUCAAUGUCUUCUUGCUGGACAUGGCAUAGAAAUUCCGUUCCCAUAUACUGUCCAACAGAGGUUCUGUAUCAUCAGGUCCAUCUGCUUCUUCAGCCUCCACGCAUCUGCCCCUCACCCUUGCUCCUCUCAUGGCUGCUCACAUCCGGGUUCCUGUUCUAGAGCAGAAGCUGCUCUUUACCUGAGGCCUCUGCCCAGAGUUCCUGGACAUCACUGCUCCUUUUCUUCGUUGUUGGUCUCUACACUCUGUAAUUGAAGUUCCAUGAGAGCAAGUACCAUGAAUACCUCAUUUUCUGUUUUCACACCACUUAGGAGAGCACCUAAUACAUACUACGUGCCUGUUACGUAUUUUGUAAUUUAAAAAUUACUUUAGCAGAUACACAAAAACAGAAAUUGGACCUAUGUGUGGUACACUAUGCGAUGUUUUGGUACAUGUAUAUAUUGUAUAAUGUUUCAAUCAAGCUGAACUUGUCUAUCUCCAUGAGCAUUUAUCAUUUCUUGAUGGUGAAAAAAUAUUUAUUGAAUAAUUAAAUCAGAGUACAAAAAGCUUAAAGUUUCAAG